AGAAGUGUGAUUCAAUGGUACCCACAUGUGUGCUGCUGAGAAGGAUGUACAAGGGCACCUGCAGCCAAAUCCAAGCCUCCUCAGAGCAGAGCGGCAGUUUGUGCUCACAGAUGGUGACGGUGUGGAGAGACGGUGGUGUUUCCUCAGAAGAACUAGCAGAGUCACAAAGAGCACCAGUCCAUCUCACCACCUUGACUUGCUGACUGAUGCUCGUCUGCACUGCACAGAGGAAAUCAACUGACCGAGGAGUGUUUCUGGGUGAGGGAGAGAGGAGUCAUCAUCCAGGUAAAGUGACGUGGAUCAGUGGACACACUUGUCUCCCCUUUAAAGGAGAUACUCUUAGAGAGAGACGAUCCGAGUCAUCCCUAAAUAUGGGCAGGAUGUCAGUCUUGGACUGUCUA